rnacentral:rRNA from 1 species
GUGGGGAAUAUUGCGCAAUGGGCGAAAGCCUGACGCAGCGACGCCGCGUGAGGGAUGAAGGUUUUCGGAUCGUAAACCUCUGUCAGAAGGGAAGAAACUACGUUGUGCUAAUCAGCAGCGUACUGACGGUACCUUCAAAGGAAGCACCGGCUAACUCCGUGCCAGCAGCCGCGGUAAUACGGAGGGUGCAAGCGUUAAUCGGAAUUACUGGGCGAAAAGCGCACGUAGGCUGUAGUGUAAGUCAGGGGUGAAAUCCCACGGCUCUACCGUGGAACUGCCUUUGAUACUGCACAACUUGAAUCCGGGAGAGGGUGGCGGAAUUCCAGGUGUAGGAGUGAAAUCCGUAGAUAUCUGGAGGAACAUCAGUGGCGAAGGCGGCCACCUGGACCGGUAUUGACGCUGAGGUACGAAAGCGUGGGGAGCAAACAGGAUUAGAAACCCCAGUAGUCC